GACGUAGGGCGCGAGCGUUGUCCGGAUUUAUUGGGCGUAAAGAGCUCGUAGGCGGCUUGUUGCGUCGACUGUGAAAACCCGCGGCUUAACUGCGGGCUUGCAGUUGAUACGGGCAGGCUAGAGUUCGGUAGGGGAGACUGGAAUUCCUGGUGUAGCGGUGAAAUGCGCAGAUAUCAGGAGGAACACCGACGGCGAAGGCAGCUUACUGGGCCGAUACUGACGCUGAGGAGCGAAAGCGUGGGGAGCGAACAGG
rnacentral:rRNA from 1 species